rnacentral:rRNA from 1 species
UACGUAGGGUGCAAGCGUUGUCCGGAAUUAUUGGGCGUAAAGAGCUCGUAGGCGGUCUGUCGCGUCGGAUGUGAAAUCCCCAGGCUCAACCUGGGAAUGGCAUCCGAUACUGGAGGGCUUGAAUCCGGGAGAGGGAUGCAGAAUUCCAGGUGUAGCGGUGAAAUGCGUAGAUAUCUGGAGGAAUACCGGUGGCGAAGGCGGCAUCCUGGACCGGCAUUGACGCUGAGGAGCGAAAGCUAGGGGAGCAAACAGG